rnacentral:rRNA from 1 species
UGAGGAAUAUUGGUCAAUGGGCGAGAGCCUGAACCAGCCAAGUAGCGUGCAGGAUGACGGCCCUAUGGGUUGUAAACUGCUUUUAUGUGGGGAUAAAGUGCGUGACGUGUCAUGCAUUGCAGGUACCACAUGAAUAAGGACCGGCUAAUUCCGUGCCAGCAGCCGCGGUAAUACGGAAGGUCCGGGCGUUAUCCGGAUUUAUUGGGUUUAAAGGGCGCGUAGGCUGUCUAUUAAGCGUGUUGUGAAAUUUACCGGCUCAACCGGUGGCUUGCAGCGCGAACUGGUCGACUUGAGUAUGCAGGAAGUAGGCGGAAUUCAUGGUGUAGCGGUGAAAUGCUUAGAUAUCAUGACGAACUCCGAUUGCGCAGGCAGCUUACUGUAGCAUAACUGACGCUGAUGCUCGAAAGUGCGGGUAGCAAACAGG